rnacentral:rRNA from 1 species
AGAGUUUGAUUAUGGCUCAGGAUGAACGCUAGCUACAGGCUUAACACAUGCAAGUCGAGGGGCAGCAUUGGAGUAGCAAUACUCAGAUGGCGACCGGCGCACGGGUGAGUAACGCGUAUCCAACCUGCCGCUUACUCGGGGAUAGCCUUUCGAAAGAAAGAUUAAUACCCGAUGGUAUAAAGAGUUCGCAUGUUCUCUUUAUUAAAGAAUUUCGGUAAGCGAUGGGGAUGCGUUCCAUUAGAUAGUUGGCGGGGUAACGGCCCACCAAGUCUACGAUGGAUAGGGGUUCUGAGAGGAAGGUCCCCCACAUUGGAACUGAGACACGGUCCAAACUCCUACGGGAGGCAGCAGUGAGGAAUAUUGGUCAAUGGACGCGAGUCUGAACCAGCCAAAGUAGCGUGAAGGAUGACUGCCCUAUGGGUUGUAAACUUCUUUUAUAAGGGAAUAAAGUGAGGGACGUGUCCCUUUUUGUAUGUACCUUAUGAAUAAGGAUCGGCUAACUCCGUGCCAGCCGCGGC